UUCAAUUUACUGCACGUCUGCACAUGCGUGCAAACCCAAACAUGCAUUUACAAUCCUGUUACAGAACAACGGACAUUCGCAUGGCUUGCAAAAACUCUAGCAAUAGCCACAUUCGUAACUACACCCGGUGGCGCUUUUUCACAGUUAUGCAUGUCGUUUGCUUCUCUUGAGAAAUGACAUGAUGUUGCUGCCAUGGCUGCCUUUCUUUUCUUCUUGUGAUGCCCCCCUGCAGCAACGUGAACAUCCUGCAUAAAAUUCAGAGGAGAAUUUCUUAUGCAUCACGGUAAAAAAGAAGGCAUGUCUGUGCUUGCAUUGCUUGGUGCAUCGCUGAAUUGUGCACACACCUGGCAAUGUCCUGUUGAUUUAUUGGUGUAAAUAGUGUCUAGAGCACAUUUCUGAGACAAUAUAUGAUACUAGUAUGACAUAUGAAUACCUCUGCUCUAAAGGAAAAUGACCUCGUUAUGGAUGCUGGGUUGCCAACGUCUGCACCCGCCACGGCAUGCUCCCUCCCUGAUAAGAUUACCAUGUCAUUAGCCAUAUGGUAAAUGAAUCAUGGCGAUAUGAAAAGAGUAGGCUUAAAACAAGUGGGAAACACUUGCNNNNNNNNNNNNNNNNNNNNNNNNNNNNNNNNNNNNNNNNNNNNNNNNNNNNNNNNNNNNNNNNNNNNNNNNNNNNNNNNNNNNNNNNNNNNNNNNNNNNCACCUUUGCCGUCUGCCAGCUGAUGGCACACGUCUUUGCCAUCAGCUGGCAGACGGCAAAAGAGACUAUAUAGUUCUUGUUUUUUUGUUUAUAUUAUUAUAUAUAUAUAUAUAUAUAUUUGACAGCACAUUUAUAUAAUUCACCACACAUAUAUGAUAUAUAGUUCACCACACAUAUACUUGCCAACACAUAUAUAUAAUUCACCACACAUAUAUGAUUCACCAAUGUGCAUCCCCAUAUAUCCAAAGAACCAACAUACCAAGUAUUGCACUAUUUAUCCAUAUAUACAUAUACAUAUAGUUCGACAUUGUUCAUCAACUCAAAUGAAAACUAGAUGAUAUACAUAUAAAGUUCAUCCAUCAACAUUGUUCAACUCCAGGAAUGCCAGCUUCCAUGCAUGUAGUAUAUCCAAUCUCCAAAAAUGUGAAUAAGAAAGUUAGAAGAAGAACAAAAUAUGAUGUUUUUCAGCUAAUUAUGUCAUUUUUAGCGGAAAACAAGCUAAGUAUAUGUGUGGUGAACUAUAUAUCAUUUGUUGGAGCUAAAUUACCUAAUUAUGUCUUUUUUGAGCUAAAUGGGCUAAUUAUGUCAUUUUAGAGGAAAACAAGCUAAGUAUAUAAUAUUCAUGAGCUAACCAAGGUUCUUCUGCCAUUUUGAGCUUAUUAUGGCAUUUUGGAGCUAAAUGGGCUAAUUAUGUCAUUGUUGGGUUAAUUAAAGCAAGGAUAAUAUGAAAGAGGAGAAGAAAGAGGAGGAGGAGGAGAAGAAGAAGAAAUCAAGAAGAAGGAGGAGGAGGAGGAGAAGGAUAGAAGGUCCUUGGCCUUCUCCUCCUCCUCCUCCUCCUCCUUCUCCUUCUUCUUCUUCUUCUUCUCUUCUUCNNNNNNNNNNNNNNNNNNNNNNNNNNNNNNNNNNNNNNNNNNNNNNNNNNNNNNNNNNNNNNNNNNNNNNNNNNNNNNNNNNNNNNNNNNNNNNNNNNNNAAAACUCCAUCAGCAUGGAGAUUCUUCAUGCGUUUUUACACCAAUAUGACCUAAGCGGCAGUGCCACAAGAAAGUGAUACUAUCAUUAUUAACUGUACAUCUUUUUGGCAUCAAUGUUAUAAAUAUGUGUAUCAUCACUAUUGAGAUUCAAUAACAAUAAACCAUUCACAUUGGGUGCAUGACUAUACGUCCAUUUUUGCAUCAUGAAUCUUCAUAGAUAUUUGUCUUAUUAUUAUCCAUUAUUCCCUGUUACUAUGUAAUUCUUAUGAGUUUUCUCUUUGAUUAUGCAAGGUACAUUACGAAGAGGGAAGUAUCUGGAAACUAGAAUUGUGGACCGAGAAACCGAGGAAAAGGUAGAAAAUCAAGUUGCUCCAAAUGACAUGAAACUUCACACAUAUUUUUUAUAGAAUAUAUAAGAAUUAUUGGGCCCAAAAUAUAUCGCAUAAGGGCAGCCACCUGGGCACAAGCCAACAGGGCGCCCCCCAGGCCGCGCCCUGAUGGCUUGUGGGGCCCGACGUUGGUCCCCCGACCGCCCUCUUAUCAUAUAUGGUGUGUUUUACCCUAGAAAAGAUCAAGGCAUAACUUUUGGGAUGAAGCUCCACCGUCUCUAGGAGAAAACCUGGGCAGAGGCCCCUUUUCUCUCCGACAAAAGUGAUUCUGUCGGAGGAAUUACUCUCCGGGAGGGGGAAGUCGAAGCCAUCGUCACCACUAACGCUUCNNNNNNNNNNNNNNNNNNNNNNNNNNNNNNNNNNNNNNNNNNNNNNNNNNNNNNNNNNNNNNNNNNNNNNNNNNNNNNNNNNNNNNNNNNNNNNNNNNNNGAGAUUCUGAGCAAGUUUCAUAUAGGACACGAUCAAAUCGGAGCUACGGAUCAAAAACUACGAGCAAAACAAGAUAUCACUACAAUCUGCCAAAAACAGCCACAUAGCAUUUCCUACACCCCACAACUACGAGCUACACAACUCAAAUAUAAUCAACCAAGGCAUGUCACGAAAGAGGGCAAGAAGAACUACCACAAACAACUAACAACAACAAGCAUGGCAGCAUGGAUCACUAGGGAAUGACGUCACAAAAUGGCUCCUCACACGCAGUUUCAGACUUAGUGAAAAUUACACUUCAUGAAAGUGCAGUUUUCGAUCUGAAGCCAUAUUGAUAGCAGAAAAACCACAAGCUACAGGACUCCAAAUGGCAUGAAAAUUCACAGCAUGCUAUAGAAACACAAGGUUUACAACUAACUCCAUUGGACCAACCUCAAAAGAGNNNNNNNNNNAACUUCAUGAAAGUGCAGUUUUCGAUCUGAAGCCAUAUUGACAGCAGCAAACCAAUAGCUACAAGACUCCAAAUGACAUGAAAAUUCACAGCAUGCUAGAGAAACACAAGGUUUACAACUAACUCCAUUGGACCAACCUCAAAAGAGCUACAGAUCACAAGAUAGGAGCAAAACAAAACAGCAACAAAAUAUAACAGAUUCCAAACUUAGAAAUAUUUCAGCUCCUCCAAAUCAGCACUAUUUCUAGCAACUUGAGAGCAAGCAAACCACACCUAAACAUGCAUUUCUAUUGCAACCAAAAAUACCAGGGGCUAGAGUAAACAUCAAAGAUCAACUCUCUAGUUGACAACUCCGUCAAACGAAGCACGAAAUAAAUCCUACGAAAAAUACAAGAGGGGAACAUAGCAAAAUAUCGCACGAACUAACUUGCUCAAAAGCUAAAACUAAUUGCACAGAAAAAUCCUAUGGAUUUUUAUACCCCGAAAACAUAUAAAAUAUGUGGGGUUGCACAACAAAAAUAUUGCCACACGUAAAUGCGCGAUAAUAUCCUAACCACGGAAAAUAAACUAGCGGCACAUCCCUACGCGCAAAAAAAUACAAAUGACCGCUCUAAAAUACAUGGCAAGAGGGUUCCUAAAACAUGGACAUUUAUACUACGGCAUCCGAGCAAUUCGAACACGCGCGGAAAAUAUACUACGGAGCGGAUCCUAUUGGAACAACAACUAAAUCUAUGCAUAUGGCGUCUCAAACUACGUCAAACAAUUAUGCAUGUUGCAAAAACGUAAUCUACGCGCAAAACUACCCAAAAUCCAUAUGCNNNNNNNNNNUAAACGGAAUAAAAGUUACGGGCAUUUUAAUAUACGUCUUUUUACUGGAAUUACUUAAUUCCUAAAGCAUCCUAAAUUACCUAAUAGGCCGAACUUUGGCACAACAUAUCUAAAAUGUGCUGGGGCGGGGCUUACCAUGGGGGCCUCUGGGCUGGUUGGAGGGGCUGGAGCGGACUGGGCCUCGAAGGGAGGCCGGCCCAGCUCGGCGCUGGAGAGGCAUGCCGCUGAGGGGUCGUCCACCUGGGCCGCAGGGAGCGAGGUGGGCCUCUGGCGAGGCCCAGCUGGGGCACUCGUCGUCUUCCCUCGAGCCGUGCUCGCUCCCGAGCGCAACAAGGGACGCUGGCGGCAGGCUCGACGGGGAAACAACUCAGCACCGACACGGGGGGGGUGGCUGGCAGCUCCGGCGCGGCUCCGUUGCGGGGAACCGGAUCUGGGGACGUCGCCCACCUGGCACGGCAAGACAGGGAGGCCACGGCGAAGCGGCGGCUGCGGCCGAUCUGGAUCUGGCAGAAGAAGGGGAGGCACGACGGGGGGAACUCCGGCCGCCAGCGGUGAGGCAGGAAGCUGGCCGACGGCGAAGGACGAAGCUCCGGUGAAGCAACAGCCGGAGGCCGACGCGACGGGAGAUGACAGGGCGAGGCCCACUGCGGGCCGACUCCUGCCAUGGCACAGCUCGGGAGCCUCGGGCAGGGAGAGGCUCGGCUGGGGGCGGCGCGAUCCGGGCCCGGGCGGGCCUCAGAUGGGCUCGGCGGGCCCGCGGUGGCUGGCAGANNNNNNNNNNNNNNNNNNNNNNNNNNNNNNNNNNNNNNNNNNNNNNNNNNNNNNNNNNNNNNNNNNNNNNNNNNNNNNNNNNNNNNNNNNNNNNNNNNNNCCGCCGGCCCAGCCACUGCCCCGCAGGCCUCGGCGCCGCCCCCGCAGCCCCACUGCCGGUAAGCCCAUCCACCCCCGCCCCCUUGUUCUUUAUUUUUUGAUUUUUUAUUGUUUGGUAUUUAGUUUUUUGGAAUUAGAUUAUAACUACCGGCAUGAUUUUUUAUUGUUGUUGUAGUAGUUGUUCUUGUUAUUGUAGUUGUUGUUGUUAUUGUAGUUGUUGUGGCAUAUAUAGUUUAGUUGGUAGGUUGGUUAAUUAGUAGUUUUAGUGGUAGUUUAGUUAGUUGGUAGAUUUAGUUAGUUAAUUAGUAGAUUUAGUAGGUAGUUUAGUGGUAGAUUUUGUUUUGUUAUUUAGUGGUAGCUAGAUUAUUCUUUAGUUACUUAGUGGUAGAUUCUGUUUUUGUUAUUUUUUUUGCUGUUUAGUGCUAUCUAGGUUUAGCGAUAGGUUUAGUUAGCUUCGUUAGUUAGGUUAGUUAGUUAGUUAGCUUAAUAGAAAGAAUAGGAAGAAGAAGAAGAGGAGGAGGAGGAGAAGAGGAGAAGAGGAGGAGGAGAAGAAGAAGAAGAAGAAGAAGAGGAUGAGGAGGAGGAGAAGACAAAAAUAAGAAGGAGAAGAAGAAAAGAAGAAGAGAUGAAGAAGAGAAGAAGAAAAGAAGAAUACCUUCUCCUCCUUCUCCUUCUUCUCCUCCUUCUUCUCCUCCUCCUCCUUCUCCUUCUUCUUGAUUUCUUCUUCUUCUUCUCCUCCUCCUCUUUCUUAUCCUCUAUCUUAUUCUCCUUACCUUAUUUUCCCCAACAAUGAGAUAAUUAGCCCAUUUAGCUAAAAAAUGGCCAUUCUUCUCCUCUUUCAUAUUAUCCUUGCUUUAAUUAACCCAACAAUGANNNNNNNNNNACCAUAAUAAGCUCAAAAUGGCAUAAGAACCUUGGUUAGCUCAUUAAUAUUAUAUACUUAGCUUGUUUUCCUCUAAAAUGGGAUAAUUAGCCCAUUUAGCUAAAAAAAGACAUAAUUAGGUAAUUUAGCUCCAACAAGAGGAGAAGAGGAGAAGAAAUAGGCAAAAUGAAAAGAAAGAAAGAAAGAAGAAGAAGAAGAAGAAGAAGAGAAGAAGGAGAAGGAGGAGGAGGAGGAGGGCCUUCUCCUCCUCCUCCUCCUCCUUCUUCUUGAUUUCUUCUUCUUCUCCUCCUCCUCCUCUUUCUUCUCCUCUUUCAUAUUAUCCUUGCUUUAAUUAACCCAACAAUGACAUAAUUAGCCCAUUUAGCUCCAAAAUGCCAUAAUAAGCUCAAAAUGGCAGAAGAACCUUGGUUAGCUCAUGAAUAUUAUAUACUUAGCUUGUUUUCCUCUAAAAUGACAUAAUUAGCCCAUUUAGCUCAAAAAAGACAUAAUUAGGUAAUUUAGCUCCAACAAAUGAUAUAUAGUUCACCACACAUAUACUUAGCUUGUUUUCCGCUAAAAAUGACAUAAUUAGCUGAAAAACAUCAUAUUUUGUUCUUCUUCUAACUUUCUUAUUCACAUUUUUGGAGAUUGGAUAUACUACAUGCAUGGAAGCUGGCAUUCCUGGAGUUGAACAAUGUUGAUGGAUGAACUUUAUAUGUAUAUCAUCUAGUUUUCAUUUGAGUUGAUGAACAAUGUCGAACUAUAUGUAUAUGUAUAUAUGGAUAAAUAGUGCAAUACUUGGUAUGUUGGUUCUUUGGAUAUAUGGGGAUGCACAUUGGUGAAUCAUAUAUGUGUGGUGAAUUAUAUAUAUGUGUUGGCAAGUAUAUGUGUGGUGAACUAUAUAUCAUAUAUGUGUGGUGAAUUAUAUAAAUGUGCUGUCAAAUAUAUAUAUAUAUAUAUANNNNNNNNNNNNNNNNNNNNNNNNNNNNNNNNNNNNNNNNNNNNNNNNNNNNNNNNNNNNNNNNNNNNNNNNNNNNNNNNNNNNNNNNNNNNNNNNNNNNCUCUCUCGGUGCAACCCUACCUCUCUCCUUCCUCAUCCUCUACGGUGCUUGGCGAAGCCUUGUCGGAGUCCCACGUAGCUCCAUCGUCACCAUGCCGUCGUGCUUCCAGAUCUCUCCCUCAACCUCUUCUUCCUCCUUGAUGGUUCAAGGUGUUGGAGACGUCACCGGGCUGCACGUGUGUUGAACGCGGAGGUGCCAUGGUUUGGCACGUAGAUCAGAAUCACACCGCGAUCUGAAUCGCUACGAGUACGACUCCAUCAACCGCGUUCUAGUAUAGCUUCCUCUUAGCGAUCUCCAAAGGUAUGAAGUUGCUCUUCCCUCUUGCUCAUUGCUGGUCUCUCCAUAGAUAGAUCCUUGUAUGGCGUAGGAAAAUUUUGAAUUUACUACGUUCCCCAACAGUGGCAUCCGAGCUAAGGUUCUAUGCGUAGAUUCUAUGCACGAGUAGAACACAAAAGUUGUGGGCGCUGAUUUUGUCAAUUGCUUGCCGUUACUAGUCUUAUCUUUUCCGGCGGUAUUGUGGGAUGAAGCGGCCCGGACCGACUUUACACGUACGCUUACGUGAGACAGGUUCCACCGCCAGACAUGCACAUGGUGCAUAAGGUGGCUAGCGGGUGUCUGUCUCUCCCACUCUAGUCGGAUUGGGUUCAAUGAAAAGGGUCCUUAUGAACGGUAAAUAGCUUUGGCAUGUCAACGUUGUGGCUGUCACGUAGGUAAGAAGGUGUUCUUGCUAGAAACCCAAAUCAGCCACGUAAAACUUGCAACAACAAUUAGAGGACGUCUAACUUGUUUUUGCUGGGUUUGCUAUGUGAUGUGAUAUGGCCAAAGGAUGUGAUGUUACAUGUGUGAUCUAUGAGAUUGAUCAUGUUCUUGUAAUAGGAUUCACGACUUGCAUGUUGAUGAGUACAACAACCGACAGGAGCCAUAUGAGUUGUCUUAAAUUAUUGUAUGAGAUGCAACGCCAUGUGUUUAUUACUUUACUUCAUUGCUAACGGUUAGCUAUAGUAGUAGAAGUAAUAGUUGGCAUGACAACUUCAUGGAGACACAAUGAUGGAGAUCAUGGUGUCACGCCAGUGACAAUGAUGAUCAUGCGAUGACCCGAAGAUGGAGAUCAAAGGAGCAAAGAUGAUAAUGGCCAUAUCAUGUCACUAUAUGAUUGCAUGUGAUGUUUAUAAUGUUUUUCAUCUUAUUGCUUAGAACGAGGGUAGCUUAAUAAGAUGACCCCUCAUAAAAUUUCGAGAAAGCAUUUCCCUAAGUGUGCACCGUUGGGAAGGAUCGUUGUCUCGAAGCACCAUGUGAUGAUCGGGUGUGAUAGAUUCUAACGUUCGCAUACAACGGGUGUAAGCCAGUUUACACACCCAAAACACUUAGGUUGACUCGACGAGCCUAGCAUGUACAGACAUGGCCUCGAAUACGGGAGACCUAAAGGUCGAACAUGAGUCGUAUGGUUGAUACGAUCAGCAUGGAGAUGCUCACCAUUGAUGACUAGUCCGUCUCCCGUGAUGAUCAGACACGGGCUAGUCGACAUGGAUCAUGUAACACUUAGAUGACUAGAGGGAUGUCAAUUUAAGUGGAAGUUCAUUACAUAAUUUGAUUAGAUGAACUUGAUUAUCAUGAACUUAGUCUAAAAGUUGUCUUUACAAAUAUUGUAGAUCCAAUGGCCAACACACCUGUCAACCUGAAUUUCAACGCGUUCCUAGGGAAAACAAAGCUGAAAGAUGAUGGCAACAACUAUGCAGACUGGGUCCGUAGCUUAAAGCUCAUCCUUAUUGCGGCCAAGAAGGCUUAUGCCCUUGAUGCGGCGCUAGGUGAUCCUCCCGCUGCCCCGGCAGCCUAGGACAUUCAGAACGCCUGGGAAUCGCGGAGUGAUGACUACUCUCUGGUUCAGUGCGGCAUGCUAUACAGUUUAGAACCGGGGCUCCAAAGGCGUUUUGAGCAACACGGAGCAUAUGAGAUGUUCCAGGAGCUGAAACUAGUUUUUCGGCGCCAUGCUCGGGUCAAGAGAUAUGAAGUCUCUGACAAGUUAUUUAGCUGUAAGAUGGAGGAGAACGGUUCUGUGAGUGAGCAUAUACUCAGAAUGUUUGGGUUGCACGGUCGUCUGACUCAGCUUGGAGUCGAACUUCCGGAUGAUGCGGUCAUUGACAGAAUCCUCCAGUCGCUUCCACCUAGCUAUAAAAGCUUUGUGAUGAACUACAACAUGCAAGGGAUGGAGAAGACCAUUCCUGAGUUGUACUCGAUGCUGAAAUCUGCAGAGGUAGAAAUCAAGAAAGAGCAUCAAGUGUUGAUGGUCAAUAAGACCACUAGUUUCAAGAAAGGCAAGGGUAAGAAGAAAUUCAAGAAAGACGGCAAAGCUGUUGCCGCGCCCGGUAAGCUAGUUGCCGGGAAGAAGAAAAAGAAUGGACUCAAGCGUGAGACUGAGUGCUACUAUUGCAAGGGAACCGGUCACUCGAAGUGGAACUGCCCCAAAUACUUAGCGGAUAAGAAGGCCGACAACAUCAAAGGUAUAUAUGAUAUACAUGUUAUUGAUGUGUACCUUACCAGCGCUCGUAGUAGCUCCUGGGUAUUUGAUACUGGUGUUGUUGCUCUCAUUUGCAACUCUAAGCAGGAACUGCGGAAUAAACGAAGGCUGGCUAAGGACGAGGUGACGAUGCGCGUUGGGAAUGGUUCCAAGGUCGAUGUGAUCGCCGUCGACACACUACCUCUACAUCUACCUUCGGGGUUAGUUUUAAACCUUAAUAACUGUUAUUUAGUACCAGCUUUGAGCAUGAAGAUUGUAUCGGGAUCUUUCUUAAUGCGAGAUGGCUACUCAUUUAAGUCAGAGAAUAAUGGUUGUUCUAUUUAUAUGAGUGAUAUGUUCUAUGGUCAUGCCCCGCUAAUCAAUGGUUUAUUCUUGAUGAAUCUCGAUCUUGAUGUUACACAUAUUCAUAGUGUGAGUACCAAAAGAUGUAAUGUUGAUAAUGAUAGUCCCACAUAUUUGUGGCACUGCUGCCUUGGUCAUAUCAGCGUAAAGCGCAUGAAGAAACUCCAUACAGAUAGACUUUUGGAGUCACUUGAUUUUGAAUCAUUUGACACAUGCAAACCGUGCCUCAUGGGCAAGAUGACCAAGACUCCAUUCUCCGGAAUAAUGGAGCGAUCAAGCAACUUGUUGGAAAUAAUACAUACCGAUGUAUGCGGUCCAAUGAGCGUUGAAGCUCGCGGUGGCUAUCGUUAUGUUCUCACCCUCACUGAUGAUUUAAGUAGAUAUGGAUAUGUCUAAUUGAUGAAGCACAAGUGUGAAACCUUUGAAAAGUUCAAGGAAUUUCAGAGUGAGGUGGAAAAUCAACGCGACAAGAAAAUAAAGUUUCUACGGUUUGAUCGUGAAGGAGAAUAUUUGAGUCAUGAAUUUGGCACACACCCACAGAAAUGUGGAAUUGUUUCACAACUCACGCCGCCUGGCACACCGCAGUGUAACGGUGUGUCUGAACAUCGUAAUCGCACUCUAUUAGAUAUGGUGUGAUCUAUGAUGUCUUUUACCGACUUACCGCUAUCAUUUUGGGGAUAUGCAUUGGAAACCGCGGCAUUCACUUUAAAUAGGGCAGCUUCUAAAUCCGUUGAGACGACACCGUAUGAAUAUGGUUUGGCAAGAAACCUAAGCUGUCGUUUCUUAAAGUUUGGGGCUGCGAUGGUUACGUGAAGAAACUUCAACGACAGAAGCUCGAACCCAAAGAGGAAAAAUGCGUCUUCAUAGGACACCCUAAGGAAACUAUUGGGUAUACCUUCUACCUUAGAUCCGGAGGCAAGAUCUUUGUUGCUUAGAAUGGAUCCUUUCUAGAGAAAGAGUUUCUCUCAAAAGAAGUAAGUGGGAGGAAAAUAGAACUUGAUGAGGUAAUUGUACCUCCUCUCGAACCGGAGAGUAGCGCAGCGCAAGAAAAUGUUUAUGAGGUGCCUGCACCGGCUAGAGAUGAAGUUAUUGAUGAUGAUCAUGACACUUCGGAUCAAGUUGCUAUUGAACCUCGAAGGUCGACAAGGGUACACUCCGCACGAGAGUGGUACGACAACCCUGUCAUGGAAAUCAUGUUCUUAGACAACAGUGAACCUUCGAACUAUGACGAAGCGAUGGCGGGCCCGAAUUCCAACAACUGGCUUGAGGCCAUGAAAUCCAAGAUAGGAUCCAUGUAUGAGAACAAAGUAUGGACUUUGGUGGACUUGUGUUGAGGCAUAGUUUAUGCCUAAGUAAUUUUGGUGAUUGAUGACAGUACCGUACAGGACUAAUCGUGUGUGUCAAGGUUUCAGGUAACACUCGUCAACGACACAAGACGACACGUCUCCUCUCUUCUGGAACGGAAGCACGGCGCUCUCUACGAUUCUCCUUAUUUGAGUCAUAGGAAAGCCGUACUAUUAAGAGGGGAUCCGUAGUGGAAAGGUUUGGGUGGAAUCUAUCUUUACACACGCACACUUCACAUUCUCCCUUUCCUUAUCUUUUGGAGCGGCCCUCGCCUAUUUGUCUCGGUUAUCUCUGCAAAAUGGUCCUCAGCGGUAGUACCGCUGGUUCCAGCGGUAGUACCGCUGGACUGCCAGCGGUAGUACCACUGGCCUGCGGUAGUACCGCCGCUGGUCAGCGGUAGUACCGCUCCAGGUGUUUUGUUCCACCUACCUAGCGGUAGUUUGUGGACGGACCCUUUUGCGAAGACUUUCCCGGCGGUAGUAGUGCUUGUGCACUACCAAGGGGCCGGCGGUAGUACCGCUAGAGGCCCAGCGGUAGUACCGCUGCAGCCAGCGGUAGUACCGCCAGGCAGUGGUAGUACCGCUCAGGCACAGCGGUAGUACCGCUGGUGCUCGGGCAGUGAGUGGGAAACCCCCCCCACUAUAUAAAGGGUUCUUCUAGCUGAGGAACCCUAUCUCUUACCUCUCUAAGCUCCAUUGUUGCUCCACAAGCUCUAAAGUGCCCGAUCUCUCUCCCUAGCCAAUCAAACUUGUUGAUUCUUUAGGGAUUGGUUGAGAAGGCCUAGAUCCACACUUCCACCAAGAGAAAAGUUGAUUCCCCCACCAAUCCCUUGCGGAUCUUGUUACUCUUGGAUGUUUGAGCAUCCUAGACGGUUGAGGUCACCUCGAAGCCAUAUUCCAUUGUGGUGAAGCUUCGUGGUUUAGUUGGGAGCCUCCAAGCUUUGUGUGGAGUUGCCCCAACCUUGUUUGUAAAGGUUCGGUCGCCGCCUUCAAGGGCACCUAUAGUGGAAUCACGGUACCUUGCAUCGUGCGAGGGCGUGAGGAGAAUACGGUGGCCUUAGUGGCUUUUUGGGGAGCAUUGUGCCUCCACACCGCUCCAACGGAGACGUACUUCCUGUCAAAGGGAAGGAACUUCGGUAACACAUCCUCGUCUCCAUCGGUUCCACUUGUGGUUAUCUCUAACCUUUACUUUGUAUUUGCUUAUGCUUGUGACUAUAUCUUACUUGUCCUCAUAGCUCUAGGUGUUAGCUUCUAUAGGGUUCACCUCUUUGUCAUAUUAUUUGUGAACCCGUAUAGUGUUUACCUUAACUUGUUAAGAUUAAUUAAAAAGUGGUCAUUGUCUAUUCACCCCCCCUCUAGCCAACCAUAUCGAUCCUUUCAAUUGGUAUCAGAGCCACGUCUCUUUAUUAGGGGUUUAACCACCCGAAGAGUAUGGAAGGCGGAGAGGAAGUUAACCGUGGGCAACCCGAGGACAUGGACUUGACUUCGGUCACAAGGGACGAAUUGAAUACGGCUAUGGCCGCCCUCAAGACGUCCUUGACAAGCGAAGUAAAAACCAUGCUUAAAGAAUUAAUUGAUGGUCUUAAAAGUUCACCCGAACCGGCUUUAGUGGUUAAACCCACCAUUUCCGAUUCGGAGGCCAACUCCUCUAAGGAAGCGGCUAAAGGUAUGCAACCUGCUUCACCUCACGAAAAGGAUGGGACUGGAACAUAUGCUUCGGUUCCACCUCCCAUGACAUAUGGAGGACCCGUUCUCGCACCUCGUCUUAAUCCUGUUGGUCCUCCUCCUAAACUUGUGAAAGGUGACUUUGCUAACUGGGUAUUUUCUAUUAAGUCUCAUUUGAAUCACAGCUCAACAAACUUGUGGAGAAUUAUCGAGCAAGGAUAUUAUCCCCAUGACCCAAGCAACCUCACUCCAAGAGAAGAUGCAGACAAUCAAUAUAAUCACUCUGCGCUGUUUAUUCUCCAGUCUGCUGUACCACCUGAAGAUCUUCCCCACUUGCGUCCCUUCACAUUGGCCAAGGAUUGUUGGGAGCAUAUUAUGGUACUGUACAAGGGAAGCUCAAGUAUUCAACGAUCCAACUAUGAAGUGAUACUUGAUAAGGUCGAUGAGUUUGUGAUGAAGGAAGACGAGGACCCUCGUGAUAUCUAUCGGAGGGUGACUGCUAUAGCUGUGGCACUAAAGGAUCAUGGGAGUAAGGAUGUGGAUGAUACAUGGCUCAAGCGCAAGUUUCUCAAAGCCAUCAUGCCUUUCAAUAAGGCCAUGUCAUCUGUCAUUCGUCAGCGGCCAGACUUCCACUCCUUGUCUUCCAGUGAAGUGUUGGAUGAGUUCAUUGCAAUGUCAAUCAUGAAUGAAACAGCCGACAGUGCACUUGCUCGUGUCCGAUCAAAAACCACUUCACCCAACCUUGCGUUGAAAGCAAGAGCAAUGUUUGAAGAAGAAGAAGAAGAGGAGGAAGAGGAGAGCUGCCCUGAAGACACUAGGUAUGCUUAUCAUGAGCAAUGGCUCUUGCGUCAAGGCAAUUCUGGGGAAAUAAAAGGAACUCAAGACCCACCUUCAACAAGAACAACUCGAGUGGUUUCAAACCCAAACAACGAGUGAGGACAUGUUAUAACUGUGGCAACGUGAGUCACUUCGUGGCAGAAUGUCCCUAUGAGAAGAGGGAAGACAACGGAGGCAAGCUAAUUCGCAAAGACAAAACCAAAUCAUUUCCAAUCAAGAACAACUUUGUGAAGAAACCUCACCCAAAAGGGAUGGUGGCCCUGGAGGAGUAUCCUUCUGAUGAUGAUGGCGAUGAUGAUGAUACAGUGGCAACGGCAACUGUUGCUAUCGCCACUACCUCUUCCCAGAAGGUGUCUCUCUUCAACGCCCCCAACGAGAACCACAUCACCAAGUGCCUCAUGGCAAAAGGUACCAAUCAGGUAACUCCCAUCAUUAAGACCAACAUUGCUUCUGCUCCUUCAUUGUUAAAUUGUGUAGAAGGUAGUGAUGUUGGAGAGCUUAAUGAGCAUGAUCUUGAUAAGUUUCUAUGCAAUAUUAAGGGAGAACCCAAGAAGCACUUUGUUGCUCUCUUGGAACAACUGGGCGAGGCCACUGACCUCAUGAGUCUCAUGAGGAGACUAUCUCCGAGCUAUAGGGACAUAGCCGUGACUAUGCCGAUGAAAUUGCCGAAUUAUCUAGUGCUCUAGAAGAAGAGCGCACUCUUCGUUUGGCUCUUGAGGAGUCAUAUAACGAUGACUGCGCUAAAAUGCAAAAGAAACUAGAUCAUGAUGUUGUUCUUACUCGCAUGCUUAAAUCUGAGAAGUAUGCUCUUGAAGUUGGCCGUGACAGACUCAAAGAAGAGUUUGACAUACUUGACAAGGCCCACAAAGCCUUGAAAGGUGUUCAUUUCUCUCUGAAAGAGUCUCAUGAUCAACUCCAAGCAAAGCUUACCAAGGAGAUCUCUACUUGUACUCCCUUUGUGUUAAUUGAUAAUACUUGUGCAACUAACCCUUGUUGUGAGCAUGUUCAUCUUAUGGAGGAAAAUGCCAAGUUAAAAGAGAAACUUGAGAAGGGCCUUGCGGCAUGCAGACAAGGUGAGAAGAGUCUGAACGAUCUCUUGAGCACUCAAAAGGGUGUUGUAGGAAAAGAAGGACUUGUACUUACCUCCAAGUCAAAAGGUAAAAGGAAGAACAAGAACAAACGAUCUCUCACCCUCAUGGACAUCUUUGUCAAAGAGGGUGAGGGGACUCAGAAGGUGAACAGGAAAAAGGUGGACCAUGGGAACCCCAAGAAGGGCAAAAAUGUUCCUACUAACACAGCCGGCAAACUCAAUUCCUCUUAUGUUUUAUGUUGUGCUAGUGAUGGGCAUGUUUAUGCCAGAUUUGUUGGUUCCUACGAUGAAGAUAUUGAAUGGGCUAUCUGGGUUCCUAAGACCCUUAUCUCUAACAUGAAAGGACCCAUUAAAAAAUGGGUACCUAAAACCAAGCCUUGAUCUUUUGCAGGAAUUUGCUUCCGGUGGGGUGUCAUGGUUGCUCGAUAGUGGAGCAACAAAUCAUAUGACCGGAAGCAAGGAAUUAGUGGUGGAUGUGCAUCCUUCUCCAUCUAUGCCCACCCAUGUCCAAUUCGCCGAUGCAUCCUUGUCAAAGGUAUUGGGAUUUGGUAAGGUGGUCGUCUCUCAAGAUUUAUCUAUUGAGAAGGUCAUGCUUGUUGAGUCACUUGCCUACAAUUUACUUUCAGUUCGUCAACUUGCAAUCAUGGGUUUUUCCACUUUCUUUAAUAUUGACACUGUGGUCCUCCUAAGGAGCAAGACUCUUAAAGUAGCCUAUGUUGGACAUGUCGAAAAUGGUCUCUAUGUGGUGAACUUCUCAAGGCGACCCACUAAGACUGCGACAUGUUUAAUGGAUAAAGUUGACGUGGGCUGGCUUUGGCAUCACCGGUUAGCUCAUGUCAAUAUGAGAUCUUUGCAAAGUCUCCUGACAGGGGACCAUGUUCGUGGACUAACAAAUGUGAGCUUUGCUAAAGACCGUGUUUGCAGUGCUUGCAUUGAAGGAAAGAUUCAUGAAACUGCUCAUCGUCCAACGACUCUUAUCUACACUAAGAGGCCAUUGGAACUCCUCCAUAUGGAUCUGUUUGGUCCUCCAACAUUUGAUAGUCUUGGAGGCAGAAAAUAUUGCUUAGUGAUUGUUGAUGACUACUCAAGAUAUACCUGCGUAUAUUUCUUCAAAAGGAAGAGUGAAACUCAACAAACAGUCAUCAACUUUGCUAAUGAAGCUCAACGUCAACAUGAAGCAACGAUCUUGAUGAUUAGGAGUGACAACGGCACCGAGUUCAAGAACUACACCCUAGAUGAGUUUCUAGGUGAUGAGGGAAUAAAGCACCAAUAUUCUGCACCAUAUACCCCUCAGCAAAACGGCGUGGCAGAAAGGAAGAACCGGACCUUGAUAGAUGCUGCAAGAACAAUGAUGGCAGAAUUCAAAUCUCCAUACAACUUCUGGGCAGAGGCCAUCAACACAGCAUGUCAUGCGUCCAAUCGGCUCUACAUCCGCAAAGGCUUGAACAAGACUCCGUAUGAGAUUCUAACUGGAAAUAAGCCAAAUCUCAAGUACUUCCGGGUAUUCGGUUGUAAGUGUUUCAUUCUUAAAAAGGGAGCUCGGUUAGCUAAAUUUGAUUCUAGAGCACAUGAGGGUAUCUUUGUUGGUUAUGCUACAAACUCUCAUGCUUAUCGUGUCCUCAACAAGUCCAUCGGACUAAUUGAGGAGACGUGUAACGUAGAGUUUGACGAAAAUAAUGGCUCCCAAGUGGAGCAAAGUGGUCUUUGUGAUAUAUGUUGGAAAUAUGCCCUAGAGGCAAUAAUAAAUUAGUUAUUAUUAUAUUUCUUAGUUCAUGAUAAUCGUUUAUUAUCCAUGCUAUAAUUGUAUUGAUUGGAAACACAAUACUUGUGUGGAUAUAUAGACAAAACACUGUCCCUAGUAAGCCUCUAGUUGACUAGCUCGUUGAUCAAAGAUGGUCAAGGUUUCCUGGCCAUAGGCAAGUGUUGUCACUUGAUAACGGGAUCACAUCAUUAGGAGAAUCAUGUGAUGGACUAGACCCAAACUAAUAGACGUAGCAUGUUGAUCGUGUCAUUUUGUUGCUACUGUUUUCUGCGUGUCAAGUAUUUGUUCCUAUGACCAUGAGAUCAUAUAACUCACGGACACCGGAGGAAUGCUUUGUGUGUAUCAAACGUCGCAACGUAACUGGGUGACUAUAAAGAUGCUCUACAGGUAUCUCCGAAGGUGUUCGUUGAGUUAGUAUGGAUCGAGACUGGGAUUUGUCACUCCGUGUGACGGAGAGGUAUCUCGGGGCCCACUCGGUAAUACAACAUCACACAUAAGCCUUGCAAGCAAUGUAACUUAGUGUAAGUUGCGGGAUCUUGUAUUACGGAACGAGUAAAGAGACUUGCCGGUAAACGAGGUUGAAAUAGGUAUAUGGAUACUGACGAUCAAAUCUCGGGCAAGUAAUAUACCGAAGGACAAAGGGAAUGACAUACGGGAUUAUACGAAUCCUUGGCACUGAGGUUCAAACGAUAAGAUCUUCGUAGAAUAUGUAGGAUCCAAUAUGGGCAUCCAGGUCCCGCUGUUGGAUAUUGACCGAGGAGUCUCUCGGGUCAUGUCUACAUAGUUCUCGAACCCGCAGGGUCUGCACACUUAAGGUUCGACGUUGUUUUAUGCGUAUUUGAGUUAUAUGGUUGGUUACCGAAUGUUGUUCGGAGUCCCGGAUGAGAUCACGGACGUCACGAGGGUUUCCGGAAUGGUCCGGAAACGAAGAUUGAUAUAUAGGAUGACCUCAUUUGGUUACCGGAAGGUUUUCGUGCAUUACCGGAAAAGUUUCGGGCUCAUCGGUAGUGUACCGGGAGUGCCGGGAGGGGUGCCGGGGACCAUCGGGAGGGGUGUCACGCCCCAAGGGGUCUCAUGGGCUAUGGGAAGAGAUAAACCAGCCCCUAGUGGGCUGGAAUAAGUUCCCACUAAGGCCCAUAAGGUUUGAGAAGGAAAAAACACAAGGUGGAAAGAGUUUCCAAGUGGGAAGGUGGAAUCCUACUCCAAGUAGGAUUGGAGUAGGACUCCUCCACCUCCAAUUUCGGCCAAACCUUUAGGUUUUGAGGCUGCCUCCUCCCCUCCCUCCCACCUAUAUAUACGGAGGUUUUAGGGCUGAUUUGAGACGACUUUUCCACGGCAGCCCGACCACAUACCUCCACGGUUUUCCCUCUAGAUCGCGUUUCUGCGGAGCUCGGGCGGAGCCCUGCUGAGACAAGAUCAUCACCAACCUCCGGAGCGCCGUCACGCUGCCGGAGAACUCUUCUACCUCUCCGUCUCUCUUGCUGGAUCAAGAAGGCCGAGAUCAUCGUCGAGUUGUACGUGUGCUGAACGCGGAGGUGCCGUCCGUUCGGUACUAGAUCGUGGGACUGAUCGCGGGAUUGUUCGCGGGGCGGAUCGAGGGGAGGUGCCGUUUGAGAGAGAGAGAGGGCCGCGGUGGGGGCGGGGCAACCGUUAGUAGAUUCAUGACCUUUGCCGUCUGCUGGCGGACGGCAAAGGGGUCUAUACUCUUUGCCGUGUGCCUCUGGCAUCUUUGCCGUCCGCCAGCAGACGGCAAAGAAGGGAGUAGGUUGACCUAAGGUUCCCCCGGCCAGAUGAGCUUCUUUGUCGUCUGUUGGCGCCUUCUUUGCCGUCUGCGGCAGACGGCAAAGAGUUGACUGCUGGCAAAGACCUUCUUUGCCAUCAGCCAGUUCUUUGCCGUCAGUUUUGCUGAAGCUGAUGGCAAAGAGUGUCUUUUCUAUCAGCUAGCAGACGGCAAAGAAUAGGCAGACGGCAAAAUCUCUGAUUCCAGUAGUGCCAGUGGCAACGUCGUUCUCUGUACUGCAUCUCAUAAUCUUUGUGGUGACGAAUUCGCCAAUUCUUUUUAAGAUGGACGCAACUUGAGUACCAAUUCCCCGGGCUCGCAUUCCUUCCCUCGCCAUCGCCCCUACUUCGUUGCAAAUAUCAAUCUGGAAAAAAAUGGUUGUUGGUUGGUUGAAUUGUUCAUGAAAUGAUGGACCUGAAUAGCAAGAUGUUAAUGAUUAGCGUGGAGUCACGAUAGUAAGCUGAUGAUGUGUCUAUCGGUCUCUGCAGUUGUUCCAUAUGCGUGGGAUGUGUUGGCCUUGUAGGUGGUUCACACAUCAGUCUAGUACGCGUACUCAUGCGAUACCAAUCGUAGUACACUUGUGUCGUAGUUGCAUCUAAGGUCCGCAUAAAUAAAUAAUUACAUCACCUUUUGUAUUUUAUAUGUACAUAAUGAAAUUACCAUACGUAAAAUUACCCUUGUUGAGGCACUAUAUUUUGUAGAGCUUCACUAUUCCACUGGUUUAUCCAUUGAAUGUUUUCUGCAUUCCAAUCGACACCAGAUCUGCCCAUAUUGCUCAUCCUGAAAUUUAGAUAACAAAACGUAAAUUUCAUGAACCGGGGGUCGAAUAUCUAUUUAGCCAGGUCACAUCUUACUUACUUAUGAGUUUAUUCUUCGAUACAUCUUGGAACCGGUGGUGGAAUAUCUUGAGGUAGACCGAACUGUCUCAUGACACGGUCAGGAUUGCACGGUUCCACAAACCACAGAUAGAGUAAAUUGCAGCGGGUCAUCCAGAAGGCACUAUCUCUCACGCGUUCCACUGGGAUGCGUUGCGAACCAAAUACCAUUUUAAUACUGGGAUGGGUUUCAUGUGAUUAGUGAGUCAUUAAGAAGCUCAAACUGGUCAUGGUAUAUGGGGUAACAAUUUUUCGCAAUUUUAGUAGACCAUUUUUUCCGACCAAGCAUCCACCGGCUGGACAUAGUUACAACACCCGCACCAUAGUCGUACGGGUUUGCCGGUUCUACUAUCUGGGGCCGUCCUACAGGUAAGUAUUCCCAUGACCACAAUUGUAGAAACUCGUACGAGACACAAAGUAAUGGAGCUUUAGUUGCGAAUGAAGUUUUUUGACCGGCAUCACACAACCCUCGGUAUGUGUGAGAAAGGAUAGCAGAAGCAAAGCUACAUGGUGGAUUUUGGGGUAAUGGUCCAUCCACUAUUUUUGCGGCAAAGUAGAUACGACCAGGCAAAACUAUCUCCCCAUGAGAAUUCAGAAACAUCACACCAAAUAGCCACAACAAAUAUGCAAACAAGUGUCUCUUCGUGGUCUCAAGAUCAGCAUAGCUAGAUAAAUUUCGAAGUUAGUAUGAAGCCAGCUGAGUGGGACACCUCGAGGCGGACCAGAACGAUCUGAUAUGGGCAUAUUGAGCCGAAGACGGCCCGAGAUAUCUGCUGGCCAAGUAGGAGAAACUCGUGGAGGUACCAAUGGCACACCUCUAAUUGGUAAAGUUGUGAUCAUUAACACAUAUUUGAGCGUAGAUGCAAGCUCUCCACAGCGAAAUUGAAAGAUGUGGGUUUACGUCCAUCGAUCAACGAGGGAUGUCAAAAGGGAUGGGUUGGCAGUGAAACUGCCUGGACGGGAAAAUGAAGGAGUCCAUAAGCCUCAAGGUGAUCAAGGAAACGAUUAUGUAUUGUCCAGGGCUUCUUUAUGGUUCGAAGCCUGAAGGUCUAAGGAGGAUUUUCAUGAUUUGGAUUUAAGAAAAGGUGGCAACAAUGGUGGUUGUCGUGAUACCCCUGCAAAAGCUGGGGCAUUUCAGCCAUAACGUGCAAUCACAAUUAAAUAUCGAAAGCUACAUCACGAUGAAAUUAAAUAUUCGAAGAUUACAUCACGACAAAAUGAAAUUAAAUAUUCUGAAGAUUACAUCACGAUGAAAUUAAAAUACAUAGCAUGAUUACAUAUCAUGCAGUGUUGUUGUUACGAUACGGGCACUCCCUACGCGAGUGAUCAGGGCACCUACAAACGCGGCAUCGCCUGGGUUCUCCCAACUGGUUGUGGUCCAUGUCAUUGCGAUGAGGCCUAGACUGACGCCGUCCCUUGGUGGUUCGCAUCAAUACGGGAACUGGAACCCAUGUGGUCCCUUCUGGCCACAAUUGCUCGUAGUUCAUAUCAAUGCCCCAUGCCCAGAACUCACCGUUCCAAGUGUUGUAUAAAUUCUGCAUGUUGAAGACCGGUGAUACGUAUGGUUCGACACUAAUUUGUUGAUCUCCAGAUGCCCGCAAUACAUGACUGCAAGGGUAUCCCAGAAGCUUGGGCUUGUUGCAAGUGCACUCACAUGAGGUUGUGCCAAGGGUCACAGCUUUGUUUUUUGCUCAUGUGUGGUGACCCUUAACAAACUUUGUUCGCACACUGACUUCCCAUUUAUUCCUAAGUGCAUCUACCUUCCUGCACCCAUGGCUUUGCGACUUCUUUGCUUUCUCAUGAAGAUGUCUUUGCAUCUUCUCAUACCAGGGCUUGUUCAAUUCAACUUGUGCCUUGGCGACGUUGACUUUAUCUGCAAAGUAUGACACAGUCCAGUUCCAAGUUUCAUCAAUUAGUGUUGUGAUAGGUAGGUCCCUCACCCCUUUAAGAACACCAUUGUACACCUCGGACAUGUUGCUUGUCAUUAUACCGUAUCGAGCGCCACUGUUGUGAGACUGCGCCCACUUGUACAAAUUGGGACAAUACUCGCUGAUCCACUGGCUCAAAUUUAUUGCUGUCCGACGACCCCUCUGGUCCUGUCUCGCCGGGAGGGAUGCGCGCUCGAUCUCACCAUUGAUACCUGCCCAGAUAACAUUCAUUUUUUUGCUUCAGUUUUCUGCAUGCACAUCCUCUUGAAUAGCUUGAACCAAUCUUUGUUUUUGAAUUUGGAAUAAAAAUUAGCUCCCAAAUGCCUCAUGCACCAGCUUGUCUCCAGAUCGGGCCACCCCUAAUCUGGAUCUUGUGAAGCCUUACUUAUCUCGAGCGCGCUUAAUAGUCCAGUGUUGCGAUCAGAGAUGAUACAAACCCCUUCCUGAUCUUUGACGACCCCUAUCUUCAGGCAACUCAGGAACCACAACCAACUAUGUUUGUUUUCGCUCUCGACUAGUGCAUAGGCAAUAGGAAGAAGUUGAUUGUUUGCAUCAGCUGCCAUCGCCACUAAGAGUGUGCCCUUAUACUUUCCAGUGAGAAAUGUACCAUCAAUUGAUAAAGUCGGAUGACAAUGCUUGAAUGCUUGUAUAGUCUGGGCGAAUGCCCAGAAUAAGCGGUCCAGGAUUUUCUCCUUCCGGUUCAAUGGAUUUGGAUGUUCUUUCCGGAAAACAUGAGUCCUCCUGUUAGCAACUGCUAUCUGAUGCAGCAUUAUGGGGGCAAAAGAGUACGUCUCCUCAUAGGUUCCAUACAACCUCUGGAAUAUCUUUUCGUUUGCAUGCCUAGCCUUGUUGUAGCUGACAGGGAAGCCAAUCAGAUCAGAUGCAGUUGCCUGCAAAGCCCUAAUACUAAUAUUAAGACUUUCCUACACAGUCGUUUGCAUGAUCUGGUGACACAUAUUCUACAGUCACAUUGCGGUGCUCUGACAGAGUGUUGGUUUGCUCACAGCCAUGUUGCUCUAUUUUUGUGACAUGCCAUGGCUGACAUACCCGAGGCUUCUUGCGAGCAAUAACUCUUCCAUGGCAUCCCACUCCGCGAUGGAUGCAUAUGAGCUUCAACUCCUUUUUAUCAGACUGCUUCACUCUAUGCUGCCUAUGUGUGGCAAUUGCAUAGCUAUGUAUUGCUUGGUAAGCAUAUUUCUUAUCUGGGAAAAUCUGCCCAACGGCCAGACUUCCCGCUUCUAGGCCAGCAAUAGAGUGAAAUUCAUUGGUGAUGCUCAUAACCUAUAAAAACUCUGGGUUGAUUGGUGCAGCGACCGCCUUCUCAGGAGGAACAACUUCAUCAUCAUCUGAUUCCGAAGAGGCAGAAGAAUGACCAUCAUCGUCAUCAUCUAGCGCCUCCGAGAAUCCAUCGACAUGUUCGCUCAUGUCAACGAUCGCAGACCAAUAUCCAGUGGCAUACACUUGUUGGCCACCUCUUGGUUCCGAUGGGUCGGCGUCGGGGGCUACAGUUAUGGCCAACUCGGCCUCACCGGCCCCGCUACUGCACUCGGCGACAUCAGUGACAGAAAUGAACUUCACAUAAACCAUGGGUUGUCCAAACAUGGAGUUAUUGGGAUUGCUUGCAAACCCAUGUACGACGCCCAUGCUGGUGAAACCCGCCGCACAAUCCAACGAUCUCCUCCCUCAACCACGAAAACCUCCAUGGUCAUUCAUUUUCUAUCCAUCAUUGAACCAAACACCGCUCGGAUGCACCUUCUCACUGCCGCAUACCCUACAUUAACCAUGUCUCUCACUACAACCGUAGUCAUCCCACACCUAGACACAUCCGCACCAGAAGGACCAUCGCGUAUGAUGUCCCCAUAGAACACUAACAAAUUUUCCAUAGUACCUAACGAGCAGCUGUAUUUACAUCGUUAGUCCAUUAAAAAUUGUUUAUUUACAUAUAACAAUUUGACAUAUUAUCACAUGAACAAAAAUAUCACAGCAAACGAUUCAAAAUAGCGGUUGCAUGCAUGAACAUAUCACCAGUUAUAUAUCAACGGAGUCGACAUAUUAUCACAUGAACAAAAAUAUAACACAGACAUUUUUUCGGCUCUUUUCUAAAUACCAGUUGCAUGCAUUAACAAAUCACCGCUAAUAUAUGAACGGAGUCGACCUAUUAUCACAUGAACACAAAUAUCUCAUACUCUUAUGUGAAAUGCUACUAUAAAUGCAGAAUAUCUCAUAUGAAAAUGUUUAUUGCUAACUUAUUUCUAACGUGUAUGGCCAUAAAAAUUAAUGUAUUGCAAAGGUCAUACCUUGAUCUUCAACUUAGUAGUGCAUAUCACAUGUCAAAAUCGUACUUCUGAAGCUCUAAAUUAUUUCAGGUAAGUGAUAAUAUACUCCCUAAAACAAAAGAAAACACAUACUUAAAAACUAAUCAAACAAAAUGAAAACAUCAUGCAUGCAAAUACGACCAACAUCAAUGGACAACUCUUAUCUUGAUCUAUCUUUUCGUCAACUACGACAUCUUCAAAAUCCAAUUUCAAACCGUCCUAAAUAACCACUUAAAAUGUGUAUGGAGUAGUUUUUGAGAGAAAGAGAAGAGAGUGAGAAAGAGAAGCAGUGUGGGCUGAAGCAAGCAAGAGAAGCGAGUGAGAGAGGAGGCAACGACGCGAGAAGAGAGUGAGAGAGGAGGCAACGGUGCAGCUGCUUUAUAAAGAAAGUAGACAGCAACAACAGCAGGAAUCAACAUCUGGUUAAAAAAGCACACAACAGCAGCAUCUCAGCACAGUACUCCCGCGCAGCUCGGCAUCGGUUUCAGCAUUGUCAACGUCGUUUCAGCGUCGCCGCGUCCGCGCGUGAGUGAACAGUAUCUGCCGCCACUAGCCGCCCGCAGCUGUCUGUCCGUUCCGUCGCGUGGCAGGUGCAACGGGAUUUCCGGUCGGCCGCCUCGCUCCGUGGUGGCAGGGCCCAACCGUCUGUGUUGGUGGCGGCAGGUGCCACGUGUCACCUGGCGCGCCUGGCGCCACGUGAGGUGGGGGUCUUUUUUAUCAUUCGGUGUGGCAUGUGGUUCUUUUUAGCAAUUCGUUUCCACAGACGGUCCUUUUGGACAAAACGCCAACAACCACCGGACCCUCGUUAUGAUACAAGAAAAAAACACCGGACCCUCGUUAAAACCGGCGACCACGAUGCCGCCGUAGGGUCGACGCCAAACUUUUUCCGAAACACUGCACCUUCAGAAUCUCCUCGAAAGGACCACAAGAACCCGGGCGUACGCUUUGCCCGUGACGAGCGCAGCACACGCUAGCGCGCCGUCCAAGCGCUCGGCGCCUCUGACCCGGAGCGCCACCCCCACAGAGGGAUCACGAGACCGCCUGCCGCGCCUUGUCCCGUUGCUCCCUACGUUCUCUUGCCCCCCCGCGAACUCCUCCUUCGCGCGCGUCUGCACAUGCCAUUUUCCAGCACCCAUCGUCGUCAUCCUCAGCGCUCUCCUGUCGCUCCCGUGCCCGUCGUUCUUGGCGUGGGAGAUGGACGCGGGGAGCGCCGGCGAGGCGGGGCGGCAGGAGGGGACGCCGACGGGGCCCGCGGCGCCGUUCGGCAGGUCGUCGUCGUCUUCGUCGGGUCUCGGCGCGAAGGGCGGCGCAACACCGCAGAGCUUCGACGGCGCGCUCAGAGUUGAGCGCUUCUCUUGCUCCAUUUUCCCAAUCAUAUUCGCGUCGCGUGCGCGGCUCUGAUUAAAGCUCGCGCGUCGUCCGACGCGGGUUCGCUCGGGUUUGCAGGAGCUCAAGGAUCUGCAGGCGCAGCUGCACCAGGCAGCGGACUGCUGCGAGAAGGCGUUCCUCGCCACCGAGAAGAAGCAGCUGUAAGCAAAGACCUUCCAUCGAACACAUUUCCUUUCUUUCCCUCUUUGGUCAUGGAAUUUUAUGGCAGCGUGUAAUUUUCAUUUCCUGCGCAUGCCGGUGAAGAAUCCUGGACAGUACAAAGAGCUACAUCUGCGACGCGGUUGUAGCGGUGAUUGAUCAUCUGGGGACCGUUUCAUCCAAGCUUGAGCACCAGUUGGAAGACAAGACUGAGAUCACGCAAACAGAGCAGAAGAUCAGCUUCCUCAAGCAGGUUGGGCAUUCUCUCUGCUUGUAGCUGUUAGUAAAUUAUGUAUGGAGAUCUGGUGUAGUCACCAGAGAUAGUUUGGAUUAAACAAUGAACCAUGUCUAUGACGAUGAUUAUGAUGAUGAUGACGGGGUAGUUGAAAGUUGAAACUUGAGAGGGUACAUACACACUGGUUUUCAGAUAACUUGGGUGCUCUUUGGAUUGGGAUUUCUUUUCCGUUCCAGUUUACCAAGUCAAUGCCGAUAUGCUCGCAUGUUUUUGUUUUCUCAUUCCAAUGGACUUGCAAAGUUGAUCGUGACUGCUCACUGAACUUCGUGUGAUGCUACCAGAGGCUCUUGACAUGCGAACAGUAUGCAAUUUCUCUCCAACUAUUGGCCGUUCGUGCAGACACUGGCGCCUGUCAAUAUCAUCGCCGUUACCUUUCGCAAUGUACAGUUUUCCAAACUGACUUAUAUGAUGAACAUGCAAAAUGCUUCAGCUCUGCUAUGGUUUACUAACCAGUACUACUUUCCACUACAGCUACUGAAAGAAACAACCAGGAAAAUGUUGCCAAGUCAAGGUUUACUCGCUACUACUAGUUACUUUAGAUUCUUUCACUCGUCUUUCUUUGCACCUGUGGUCUGCAAUUUGUAUCACUGUAUGACAUUAGCAGUACAUUUUCACACAGCAGAGGUGACCCGGAACCUUUCAAACUCAAUAGCACAGUGGCGCAGGGAGCUACUCGCACUAUGAAGCCAUAUGAAGUUGAAUCAAGCAUCGGUAAUUUUUUUGUGUGUGAAAUGAAACAUAUUUAUGAACAAUUGUGUAUUUGCCACCGUAAAGCGGUUGUGCUUCCAUGCUACUGUGAAGAAGGAUCCCAAUCACUCUGCUGAUCAAAAUUUCACUUUUAUGUACUCCUUCUGACCCAUAUUAAUUGUCGCUGAUUUAGUACAUAGCAUUUUGUAGCAUGCCUUCAACUUGUUUUCCCUGGAUUUACCAAUAGCCACAGCAAGUGUUUCCCACUUGUUUUAAGCCUACUCUUUUCAUAUCGCCAUGAUUCAUUUACCAUAUGGCUAAUGACAUGGUAAUCUUAUCAGGGAGGGAGCAUGCCGUGGCGGGUGCAGACGUUGGCAACCCAGCAUCCAUAACGAGGUCAUUUUCCUUUAGAGCAGAGGUAUUCAUAUGUCAUACUAGUAUCAUAUAUUGUCUCAGAAAUGUGCUCUAGACACUAUUUACACCAAUAAAUCAACAGGACAUUGCCAGGUGUGUGCACAAUUCAGCGAUGCACCAAGCAAUGCAAGCACAGACAUGCCUUCUUUUUUUACCGUGAUGCAUAAGAAAUUCUCCUCUGAAUUUUAUGCAGGAUGUUCACGUUGCUGCAGGGGGGCAUCACAAGAAGAAAAAGAAAGGCAGCCAUGGCAGCAACAUCAUGUCAUUUCUCAAGAGAAGCAAACGACAUGCAUAACUGUGAAAAGCGCCACCGGGUGUAGUUAGAAUGUGGCUAUUGCUAGAGUUUUUGCAAGCCAUGCGAAUGUCCGUUGUUCUGUAACAGGAUUGUAAAUGCAUGUUUGGGUUUGCACGCAUGUGCAGACGUGCAG
rnacentral:lncRNA from 1 species